UACGAAGGGGGCUAGCGUUGCUCGGAAUCACUGGGCGUAAAGCGCACGUAGGCGGAUCUUUAAGUCAGGGGUGAAAUCCUGGAGCUCAACUCCAGAACUGCCUUUGAUACUGGGGAUCUCGAGUCCGGGAGAGGUGAGUGGAACUGCGAGUGUAGAGGUGAAAUUCGUAGAUAUUCGCAAGAACACCAGUGGCGAAGGCGGCUCACUGGCCCGGUACUGACGCUGAGGUGCGAAAGCGUGGGGAGCAACAGGGAUUAAGA
rnacentral:rRNA from 1 species